CUGAUAUAACGACUUGAGACUCGGCUGUUUCAACUGUUACAACAAACUUUACCGAUUACCAAAAGAACCCGAGACUAUUAAAAGUGACAGUUUGCUAUAUACAACACGUACCAAAACAGUUUUCUCUUCUGUAUACUCACAUCAGCUAUACGACACCAAUAUCAGUGAUAAAGCACUCACAACUAUACCUCUGUAUCAAGUCCACGCCAAACAACUUCCAUCACAACCCAUACCUUCACCCCCGUCAGCACAGCGUGCUUGAUCCCCCUGGUUAUAGUCGAGAUAAUUUGAAGAAAAAGCAAAAGGAUGUGAAGCGGGAUGUUAGGAGCUGGUGUGGGUUUAGGAGGUUUUGAUCGGUGCUGAGACCGUUUGAUAAAGAAGGAAAGGAAUAACGGUAACCAUCCCGUACUGGUGCUCGAGGUGGCGCUUGGGACCAACCUCGCAACUGACACAUUUCCUUCGCUGUCUGCUUCUAAUCUUGCUUCCAUGUUUUUCGUCCAUGUCAUUCGCUUCUCAGAUCCUUUCGACGGCGAUCCUGGUGCUUGCAAACAGCUGAUUGAAGAUGAAUCUUUUUUAUCUUUCGGAUUCAAUAAUGGGGGUGGAUCGGAGGGGGACAAGAAGUCGGCGAGGGAGGAGAGGGCGAAGGAGACGUCCGAAGGGAUAGGAAUGGGCGGGUGGAAGGAUGCUUCGCUUUCGGUAUCGCUUUCGCUUGACAAACCAAGGCCGAUGUCUGGUGGAAGACAUAACACAGCACCAUGUAUCUGUUCUUCUUUUGCUUUUCGCUUCGACUUGAAAUCGGUGGCUAACCGCGCUCGCUUUAUCACCCCUCUUUGGCAGCGCACCAUCCUAUCGCCAGUAAUAUCCUCUUUAUCUCCCAUGAAACUGUAUGUAGAUCCCAGGGGAGGUCGAUGUCUCGGUAGAGUGUAUUUAUUUGCCAUUUUCGAUUUAUUUGAGAUGGAGAAUGACGAUUGUUGAAGGCGAGAGGGAAGCAAAAGUGGACGCAUGCCUUUGGCAAUAGACCAUUCAGGAGACGAAGGAAUGUCGACGAGAGUCAGAUCGGUAUCGGUAGUAUCUGGAAUGUCGACGAUGGCAACCUGAAUGCCGCAAUUUCUCGUGUUUGUCUUGAUAUAGAAUUCCGCUCGUUUUGGUCUCGAGAUUAUCUGCGCCCAGACUGUUUCCUCGUGUUUGCCCCUCCCAUGUAUUUCCCUCUCCAG
rnacentral:sRNA from 1 species